CCCUUGAUAGCUCAGUUGGAAGAGUGAUGGACUGUAAUUGUAUUUAGUGUCAUCCACAGGUCACCGGUUCGAUCCCGGUUCGAGGGA